rnacentral:lncRNA from 1 species
UCGGUUUUUGAACAUAAUAAUUUUGUCGUAAUGUCUGUGUGUAUAUAUAUCUUUAUGAACACAGAUUUUUGCAUAAGAUAUUUUGGAAAGUAAUAUGAAACUUGGUUAUGGAUUUGGUAAGUAGUUUUGUUCUGUAUUUAAUCUUUGAACAUGAUUUUGUCCAAAUAUAUGUAUAUAUCUAUCUAUAUUUGAGAAUGUAAGUUAUCGCAUAAGGUAUUUCAAA